GUUAAAUCAGCGAAGUCAAGCGAGAAAGCUGCCAAUAGUUCCAUGCUCAAGAAGUCUGUCAUCUCCGAUGAAUCAAUGGACAAUGCAGGGAGCGUCGACAAUAAUACAAAAGGAAAUGAUAAAAAGCUCAUAGACUUGAUAAAAAACAGUAGACUAAAGAUUAACUUAAAGUCCAAGCAGAAUGCAGCAGGCAGGGAAUAACACCCCGAGAAACGACGAA
rnacentral:misc_RNA from 1 species